rnacentral:rRNA from 1 species
GAUCCUUGCUCAGGAUGAACGCUGGCGGCGUGCCUAACACAUGCAAGUCGAGCGAUUUACUUCGGUAAAGAGCGGCGGACGGGUGAGUAACGCGUGGGUAACCUGCCCUAUACACACGGAUAACAUACCGAAAGGUAUGCUAAUACGAGAUAACAUAAGUAAUUCGCAUGGAUUUCUUAUCAAAGCUUUUGCGGUAUAGGAUGGACCCGCGUCUGAUUAGCUAGUUGGUAAGGUAACGGCUUACCAAGGCGACG